AGUGAACGCUGGCGGUAGGCCUAACACAUGCAAGUCGAACGGCAGCACAGUAAGAGCUUGCUCUUACGGGUGGCGAGUGGCGGACGGGUGAGGAAUACAUCGGAAUCUACUUUUUCGUGGGGGAUAACGUAGGUAAACUUACGCUAAUACCGCAUCCGACCUACGGUUGAAAGCAGGGGAUCUUCGGACCUUGCGCGAUUGAAUGAGCCGAUGUCGGAUUAGCUAGUUGGCGGGGUAAAGGCCCACCAAGGCGACGAUCCGUAGCUGGUCUGAGAGGAUGAUCAGCCACACUGGAACUGAGACACGGUCCAGACUCCUACGGGAGGCAGCAGUGGGGAAUAUUGGACAAUGGGCGCAAGCCUGAUCCAGCCAUACCGCGUGGGUGAAGAAGGCCUUCGGGUUGUAAAGCCCUUUUGUUGGGAAAGAAAAGCAGCAGGUUAAUACCCCGCUGUUCUGACGGUACCCAAAGAAUAAGCACCGGCUAACUUCGUG
rnacentral:rRNA from 1 species